rfam:Rhizobium etli CNPAF512 RHECNPAF_contig157, whole genome shotgun sequence.
CGGCGGGACACCCUUCCCCAACGAAGGGCUUUCUAUCUGAGAGGAUAGCAUCA